GACAGACGGGGCAAGCGUUGCUCGGAAUUACUGGGCGUAAAGGGCGCGUAGGCGGGAUGGCAAGUCGGUCGUGAAAUCCCUCGGCUCAACCGAGGAACGUCGAUCGAUACUGCUGUUCUUGAGGAUUGCAGAGGAGACUGGAAUUCCCGGUGUAGCGGUGAAAUGUGUAGAGAUCGGGAGGAACACCGGUGGCGAAGGCGGGUCUCUGGGCAAUUCCUGACGCUGAGGCGCGAAAGCGUGGGGAGCAAACGGG
rnacentral:rRNA from 1 species